CGGAUAGGGUUUUGGAUCGCAUGAUCCGAAACGGAAAGAUGGCGCAAGCUAUUACUUACAGAUGGGCCUGCGGCGCAUUAGCUAGUUGGUGGGGUAACGGCCUACCAAGGCGACGAUGCGUAGCCGACCUGAGAGGGUGACCGGCCACACUGGGACUGAGACACGGCCCAGACUCCUACGGGAGGCAGCAGUAGGGAAUUUUCCACAAUGGACGAAAGUCUGAUGGAGCAACGCCGCGUGAACGAUGAAGGCUCUCGGGUCGUAAAGUUCUGUUGUUAGGGACGAACAAGUGCCGUUCGAACAGGGCGGCACCUUGACGGUACCUAACGAGAAAGCCACGGCUAACUACGUGCCAGCAGCCGCGGUAAUACGUAGGUGGCAAGCGUUGUCCGGAAUUAUUGGGCGUAAAGCGCGCGCAGGCGGUUAUGUAAGUCUGAUGUUAAAGCCCGGGGCUCAACCUCGGUCCGCAUUGGAAACUGCGUAACUUGAGUGCAGAAGAGGAAAGUGGUAUUCCACGUGUAGCGGNGANNUGCGUAGAGAUGUGGAGGAACACCAGUGGCGAAGNNNACUUUCUGGUCUGUAACUGACGC
rnacentral:rRNA from 1 species